AUUGAACGCUGGCGGCAUGCUUUACACAUGCAAGUCGAACGGUAACAGGCCGCAAGGUGCUGACGAGUGGCGAACGGGUGAGUAAUGCAUCGGAACGUGCCCAGUCGUGGGGGAUAACGCAGCGAAAGCUGUGCUAAUACCGCAUACGAUCUAUGGAUGAAAGCGGGGGACCGUAAGGCCUCGCGCGAUUGGAGCGGCCGAUGUCAGAUUAGGUAGUUGGUGGGGUAAAGGCUCACCAAGCCAACGAUCUGUAGCUGGUCUGAGAGGACGACCAGCCACACUGGGACUGAGACACGGUCCAGACUCCUACGGGAGGCAGCAGUGGGGAAUUUUGGACAAUGGGCGCAAGCCUGAUCCAGCAAUGCCGCGUGAGUGAAGAAGGCCUUCGGGUUGUAAAGCUCUUUUGUCAGGGAAGAAACGGUAGAGGCUAAUAUCCUUUGCUAAUGACGGUACCUGAAGAAUAAGCACCGGCUAACUACGUGCCAGCCGCCGCAGUAACAC
rnacentral:rRNA from 1 species